UUUCCGGUUGAUCCUGCCGGACCCGACUGCUAUCGGGGUGAGACUUAGCCAUGCAAGUCCAGCCCUCCAGGCUAUGGUGGGGGGCGGCGGACGGCUCAGUAACGCGUGGCUAACCUAACCUCAGGAUGGAUAUACCCUCGGGAAACUGAGGCUAAUCUCCAAUAGGUGUGAACACCUGGAACGGGUUCACGCUCAAAGGGAAGCAACGCCAUGCCCGUUGUUUUUGCCUGAGGAUGGGGCCGCGUCCUAUCAUGGUAGUUGGUGGGGUAACGGCCUACCAAGCCUAUGACGGGUAGGGGCCGUGAGAGCGGAAGCCCCGAGAUGGGCACUGAGACAAGGGCCCAGGUCCUACGGGACGCAGCAAGCGCGAAACCUUCCCAAUGCGGGAAACCGCGAGGAGGUUACCCCGAGUGCCAUCUGCUGAAGAUGGCUUUUCCCCGGUCUAAGGAGCCGGGGGAAUAAGCGGGGGGCAAAACUGGUGUCAGCCGCCGCGGUAAUACCAGUCCCGCGAGUGGUCGGGGUUUUUAUUGGGCCUAAAGCGUUCGUAGCCUGCUCGAAAAGUCCUUCCUGAAAUCCCAUGGCUCAACCGUGGAAGUGGGAGGGAUACUUUCGGGCUAGGGGGCGGAAGAGGCCGAGGGUACUUCUGGGGUAGGGGCGGAAUCCUUUAAUCCUGGAAGGACCACCAGUGGCGAAGGCGCUCGGCUGGAACGCGCCCGACGGUGAGGGACGAAAGCUGGGGGAGCGAAGGGGAUUAGAUACCCCCGUAGUCCCAGCUGUAAACGAUGCGGGCUAAGUGUUGGGCGGGCUCCGAGCCCGCUCAGUGCCGUAGGGAAGCCGUUAAGCCCGCCGCCUGGGGAGUACGGUUGCAAGGCUGAAACUUAAAGGAAUUGGCGGGAGAGCACCACAAGGGGUGAAGCUUGCGGUUCAAUUGGAUUCAACGCCGGGAA
rnacentral:rRNA from 1 species